rnacentral:rRNA from 1 species
AUUGAACGCUGGCGGCAGGCUUAACACAUGCAAGUCGAACGAGUGGCGGACGGGUGAGUAGUGCUUGGGCAUCUAGCUUAUGGAGGGGGAUCACUAGGGGACACUGUAGCUAAUCCCGCGUCCCAUAGGAUGAGCCCAAGUGGGAUUAGGUAGUUGGUGAGGUAAAGGAUCACCAAGCCGACGAGCUCUAGCUGGUCUGAGAGGAUGAACAGCCAAACGGGGACGGGGACAAGGCCCAGACUCGUACGGGAGGGAGCGGUGGGGAAUAUUGGGCAAUGGGGGCAACCUGACGCAGCCAUGCCGCGUGAAGGAAGAAGGGCAUCGGGUUGUAAAGGUCUUUCGGUAGUGAGGCGUUAACUAAAGAAGAAGCACCGGCUAACUCCGUGCCAGCAGCCGCGGUAAUUC